rnacentral:rRNA from 1 species
UACAGAGGGUGCGAGCGUUGUCCGGAAUCACUGGGCGUAAAGGGCGCGUAGGCGGUGACUUAAGCGUGUGGUGAAAGCUCGGGGCUCAACCCCGAGUCGGCCGUGCGAACUGGGUCACUGGAGCAGAUCAGAGGCAGGCGGAAUUCCGGGUGUAGCGGUGGAAUGCGGAGAGAUCCGGAAGAACACCGGUGGCGAAGGCGGCCUGCUGGGAUCUUGCUGACGCUGAGGCGCGACAGCGUGGGGAGCAAACAGG